GAUUCUCCUGCCUCAGCCUCCUGACUAGCUGGGAUUACAGACUUACAGAACAUUUUUCCUGAGAGAUGAUCAAGCUUCCAUGGGUUGUUUUCAGUCCUGGAUUUAUAAUUCCAGAGUUUUCAGCAGUGCUGACAAUUGUCUAUGCCAUGAUAAAAAGAGAACGAAAAUGUGUUGGAAGAGGCACCUGGGAGUGUAGUUGUCUCAGAGGGAACACCACAUUUGUUCCUAUGACACAUUUUCAUUGAAAGAAAAAAGAAA